CGCAUCUGUGCAUGCAGCAUAUCAAUAAGCGGAGGAAAAGAGACUAACAAGGAUUCCCUUAGUAACGGCGAGUGAAGCGGGAAGAGCUCAAAUUUGAAAUCUUCAAGGUUUUACCUUGACGAAUUGUAGUUUAAAGAAGUGUUUUCUGUUGAAGUUUUGGUAAAAGUUCUUUGGAAUAGGACAUCAUAGAGGGAGAGAAUCCCGUAUUUGACCAUUAUUUUCAGCUGUGUGAUACACUUUCAAAGAGUCGGAUUGUUUGGGAAUGCAGUCCAAAAUGGGUGGUAAAUUUCAUCUAAAGCUAAAUAUUGGCGAGAGACCGAUAGCGAACAAGUACCGUGAGGGAAAGAUGAAAAGAACUUUGAAAAGAGAGUUAAACAGUACGUGAAAUUGUCAAAAGGGAAGCGUUUGACACCAGUGUUGUUUUCUCGAAAAUCAAUUAAAAAGAGUUAGAUUUUGUUGUGUAUUGACCUUAACAGCUUGCAUUUCAAUUUUCUUGCUUUUUUUAAUGCACUUUUCGUUUAACAAGUCAACAUCAGUUUCUUUUGUUGUAAAAAGGUCAUUGGAAGGUGGCUUUCUUUUCGGAGAAAGUGUUUAUAGCCUUUGACUCCUGCAAUCGGAGAGACUGAGGUCUGCAGCGUAGAUCCUUCGGGGUUAGAUACAUUUGUGCUAAGUUAUAGCUUUUUAUAGACAACUUGUUGACUAUGAUUAGUCUUGUAGCUUACUCGCUUAUGCUAUUUUACCUACGCUUAGGAUGUUGACACACGCGCGUGCUC
rnacentral:rRNA from 1 species